rnacentral:rRNA from 1 species
UACGUAGGGGGCAAGCGUUGUCCGGAUUUAUUGGGCGUAAAGAGCGUGUAGGCGGCCAUACAGGUCAGCUGUGAAAACUCGAGGCUCAACCUCGAGACGUCGGUUGAAACCGUUUGGCUAGAGUCCGGAAGAGGAGAGUGGAAUUCCCGGUGUAGCGGUGAAAUGCGCAGAUAUCGGGAAGAACACCCGUGGCGAAGGCGACUACCUGGCCUGUUCUUGACGCUGAGGCGCGAAAGCUAGGGGAGCAAACGGG